rfam:Sphaerobolus stellatus SS14 unplaced genomic scaffold SPHSTscaffold_33, whole genome shotgun sequence.
GGCGAGAUUGGCGAGUUGAUCUAAGGCGUGAGACUAGGGUAGUUUACUGUAAAUUUCAUCUCUUCGGGGGCGUGGGUUCAAAUCCCUCUCUCGUCA